ensembl:snoRNA U3 Small nucleolar RNA U3
AAUACUGUACUUUCAGGGAUCAUUUCUAUAAUUUGUUACUAGAGAAGUUUCUCUGACUAUGUGCCAGAAACCAUGAGGAAGAGAUACAGUGUUCUCUCCCGAGCAUGAAGCUGGCUUGGGUGUUGCUCUUAGGCAGCUGUCUUUUGCCAUUAAUGAUUGUUCUGCUUUGCCUCUAGUGGAGUUAGAGGGAGAGAACACAGUCUGAGUGAU